GCCUUAAGCCAGGCCCCGCCCUACGUGGGCUCCCGUCGCCCACCCGUACCCGGGCCAGGUCGGGGAGGAGGAGCGUGCGCGCCGGGAGGGCGGCCCUUGCCUGCGACUCAGCUCAGGCUCUCCUAACCGCGGUUUACCUCGUUGUACAGCGGGAUGGAUCCCCUUCGCACACUCUCUGCCUACCACACGGUGGGUGUUGUGUCAAAAUACACUAAUUCCUUUUUCCCCGUCGGUCCCGAGAGCCUGUCUGGAAGGGCCUGGUUAGUCCUUCAAACAAAAGGCUUUGUGUGUCUUGCGUACUGGCUGUUAGAAGUUUCCCUUUUCUAGGCGUGAGCUCCACACCUACGAGUGGCUUUAGUUAGGAAAAGGUGACAACGGGCUCAUCCCUGAACUGAUGAGUUGAACCUGGGGCCUGAUCAGAAAUGAGGGGAGAGGAGUGUUACGAGAAUUUUCGCUGUGUUCCUGCACCUGCGUAAGUGCUUAUGGCUGGGAGCCCCGUCGAGGGCACAGACUGCCUUGGGGCGCUCUUCUUUCUCCUCUAGCUGCCUCUUCCCAGAAUCUGUCACCUCAUGACAUUGCUGUGGUCAGACGGUCAUCGAUUCUGUGAUGACCUGAACCUUGGGACACGCCAGCCUCCAGGAGCUUAUAUGAGGCUGGUCUACCAAAGUAUACAGUUCAAGGCCAUCUCCUGGAAGGAACAUGAAUGUGUCCUGAAGUGCUUGUGUCAUGUGUCAGGGGUUGUGUUAGGCUUUUCACACGAGUGAUCUCGUUUGAUUCCCACAGUGGUCCUGUGAGCUAGGGGGAAUCAUCCCUCUCUGUAGAUGAGGAAACUGGUUCAGCCGGUUUAAAUAACUCACCUCAUGUUUCUCAGCGGGGAUGUAGUGGUUGUAGGGCUUCGGCAGUGAAGUGUCAGUACCUGGUCAGGCCUUCUCUAAGGUGUGAGACGCUCAGGGCCAUCCUGGAGGGUAUGUGUGAAGGCAUAUCACACCUUGGGUUCUUCCCCCGUCACCCCAUUCUCUUGGCAGCCCCUGCCAUUUGUAUCAAGGCUAAACUCAAAAGGCGAAGACGGCAGGGCAAUUCCUCCCACCCCCUCACCACACACACACACUCUGCCUUGGUCAUGGAUGGGUUAAUGGAACGACUCCUGUGUAUUAGACUUGGGCCUUUUUUUAGCACCAUCUGGCAGGAGUCACCUCUCCUCACACCUGCUGCUUCUACAAAACAUAGCUCACUUGCCAGUCAACAGUGCAAAAGGCAGAAGUGUGGUGCAUGUGUAAUUAGGAUUCGGUGGACCCUAGACACAAUUGUGUUGCCUGUGUUAUGUUGCCAUUGAUAGCCCAUAGACACUGCUGAGUUGUAUGUGGAACCACAGAAGACAAGAGAAAACCUACAAAAGCCGAAGUCCACUAUCCUUUUAAAAAAAAUCUUGUUGCCAGGCGCAGUAGCUCAUGCUUAUAAUCCCAGCACUUUGGGAGGCUGAGGUGAGUGGAUCACAUCAAGAGAUCGAGACCAUCCUGGCCAACAUAGUGAAACUCUGUCUCUACUAAAAAUAUAAAAAUUAGCUGGGCAUGGCAUCGGGUGCCUGUAGUCCCAGCUACUCAGGAUGCUGAGGCAGGAGAAUCGCUUGAACCUGGGAGGCGGAGGUUGCAGUGAGCGGAGAUUGUGCCACUGCAUUCCAGUCCAGCCUGGGUGACACAGCAAGACUCUGUCUCAAAAAAAAAAAUCUUGGGAGCCGCAGUGGCUCCAGCCAGUUGUCCUGGCGUUUGAGGAGGUGAGGCUAUGAGUUCAAGGCUAACCUGAGCAACAUAACAAGCUCUCAUUGAUUAACAAAAAAAAAAAAAAAAAUCUUUUCUACAGCAUUGGAUAGCGAAAUUCCCAGAAGACAAAUAAGGACCCAGGCAUUUGUCCUUCAAAACCCAGGACUUUGUAUAUAGAUGCUUUUUGGCUUUGAACACGGCAGGUAGCUUCUAUGUUUCAGAUCAAGAGAGUGGAUGUAGGCUAAAGUGGGCAGAUCUCGUGAGGUCAGAAGUUCGAGACCAGCCUAGCCAACAUGGUGAAACCCUGUUUUUACCAAAAAUAAGAACAUUAGCCAGUGUGGUGGCACACACUUGUAAUUCCAACUACACCGGAGGCCGACGUGGGAGGAUGGAGGAUUGCUUGAACCCAGAAGGUAAAGGUUGCAGUAAGCCAAGACUGUGCCACUGCACUCCAGCCUGAGCAACAGAGCAAGACUCUGUCUUAAAAAAGAAAAAAAAAAGAGUGGAUGAGCUUCAUUGACCCAGGGACACUUUAUUUUUGUUUUUUAGAUCAAGGUCUCUCUCUGUGGCCCAGGCUAAGUGCAGUGGCACAAUUAUAGCUGUUAACCUCAAACUCCUGGGCUGAAGCUAUCCUCCCACCUCAGCUUCCUGAGUAACUAGGACCACAAACAUGUGCCACCAUGCCCAGCUAAUUUUUAAAAUUUUUUGUAGAGAUGGGGUCUUGCUAUGAUGCCCAGCCUAGUCCGGAAUUCUUGGCCUUGAGUAGUCCUCCAGCCUCAGCCUCCCAGAGCACUAGGAUUACAGAUGUGAAUCCCAGCACCUGGCCCAGGGACACUUUAAAUGGGGAGGGAGGCCAGGGAAGGUGGCUAAUGCCUAUAAUCCCAGCAAUUUGGGAGGCCAAGGUGGGAGGAUUCCUUGAACCCAAGAGUUCCAGACCAGCCUGGGCAACAUGGUGAAACCCCAUCUCUAUUAAAAAAAAAAAAAAAAAAAAAAAAAAAAAGCCCAGGUGUGGUGGCUCACGCCUGUAAUCCCAACACUUUGGGAGGCCAAGGCAGGCAGAUCACAAGGUCAGGAGUUCAAGACCAGACUGGCCAACAUGGUGAAACCCCAUCUCUACUAAAAAAAUACAAAAAUUAGCUGGGCAUGGUGGCUUGUGCCUGUAAUCCCAGUUACUUGGGAGGCUGAGGUAGGAGAAUUGCUUGAACCAGGAUGCAGGAGGCGGAGAUUGCAGUGAGCUGAGAUCAAACCACUACACUCCAGCCUGGGCUACAGAGCCAGACUCCAUCUCAAAAAAAAAAAAAAAAAAAAAAGCCAGCUUGGUGAUACAUACUUGUAGUGCCAGCUACUUGGCAGGCUGAGGAUGGGAGGAAAACUUGAGCCCUGGAGGUCAAGGCUGCAGUGAGCUAUGAUCCGACUCUAGCCUGGGCGAAAGAGAGAGACCAUGUCUCUAAAAAAAAAAAAAAAAACAGUGGGGGGAGUGAAUUUUUGUAUUCCUUUUUUUGCUUACAAAGCAGCCCUUUCUGUCACAACAUACUUACUGAAACCUGCAAAGCAUGGACCCUUGGGAGCUUAUAGUCUAUUAGGAGAGUGGCUGAAAAGUGGUUGUAAUUUAGGUGAAGUCUAAUCAGUUGGGUUAUAAACCGGUUUGGCAAACUGAAUAGAAGGGGUUUGGCCAUGCUUGGAAGUACCUAUACCUCCAAAUAUAACUCUGGCAGGGUCCAGGACUAAGGGGAGAACAGGUGAACUCGGUGAGUUCCUUGGUGAGGCUGCUGCUGCUUUUGCAGGAAAAAAGAUCUCCUACCUUAAAGGUGAGACCUGGCCGGGCGCGGUGGCUCACGCCUGUAAUCCCAGCACUUUGGGAGGCCGAGGCGGGUGGAUCACGAGGUCAAGAGAUUGAGACCAUCCUAGUCAACAUGGUGAAACCCCGUUGCUACUAAAAAUAGAAAAAAUUAGCUGGGCAUGGUGGCGCAUGCCUGUAAUCCCAGCUACUCAGGAGGCUGAGGCAGGAGAAUCGCCUGAACCCAGGAGGCUGAGGUUGCGGUGAGCUGAGAUCGCGCCAUUGCACUCCAGCCUGGGUAACAAGAGUGAAACUCCGUCUCAAAAAAAAAAAAAAAAAAAGGUGAGACCUGACUUUAGGUUGGUUACUUUUGUUCUAAGUCUGCAUUUUACUAAGCAAUCCUUAGCCCAUGGGGAGAUCAGCCAGUCAGGCCAGUGCAGGCAUUCCAGCCCACCUUGAAUGUCUGUCAUUCUUCAGUGUAAGUCAGUAAAUUGGCAUUUGAUUUAUAUGUCCCUCAACAUGUGUGAACUCACUAAAUAGGUGUUUGAGAGAUAAGUCGCCUCGUAGUGGGCCAGCCUGAAAGUGUAAGUCCCAUGUCUGGGUCCUUGUCUAAAUACCACGAGAUAAGGAGUGAGGAGCUGCUGUAAAGAGAAGGGCGUGGUAUAGGAGCCAGCUUUGCUCACAUUCAGGAGAAUUAUAUUAUCCAUACAAGGCAGCAAGUACUAAAUUGUAGAAGAGUGAUACAUGCACUGGAUGCUGUGGGUUCAGAGGAGGGUGAGAUCACUGUGGGAGGUUAAGGGAUGGUGCCACAGAGGAGGCAAGUAGGACUUGCAAAAUGGAUGUGCUGUCAGUAGGUGGAAAUGGAGGAGAUGGAGAGGAACUACCCACUGCUUUGGUGGUUCACCUCUGGAGCUUACACAGAACACACAGUCAUCUGAUCUCUAGCGAUUGAACCAAUGGAAAAAUGUGACAGGAGAAGGAGGUGGUAGGCCUCAGAGACAAGGAAGGAAAAAUCAACUAUUUAUUCACAAAUAUAUUUGUUCAACCUUUAUUGAGUAUCUCUUAUGUGCCAGGCACUGAGUUUGGCCUGGGAAUACAGCAACAUACGGAACAAACAAAAGCCCUGCCCUCAGAAAGUUUACGUUUUUUUUUUUUUUUUGAGACAGAAUAUGGCUCUGUUGCCCAGGCUGGAGUGCAGUGGUGGUAUCUCAGCUCACUCCAACCCACAGACAUGCACCACCAUGCCUGGCUAAUUUUUUUUUUGUAUUUUUAGUAGAGAUGGGGUUUCACCAUGUUGGCCAGAGGCUGGUCUCAAACUCCUGACCUCAAGUGAUCUGCCCACCUCAGCCUCCCAAAGUGCUGAGAUUACAGGUGUGAGCCACCGUGUCUGCCCAAAAAGUUUACAUUCUAAUGAGGAAAGAGAGAGACAAACAAUGAAUGACUAAUGAACAAAUGAAUAAGCUAUCUAGUAUGUCAAUAGUGAAGAAUGCUAUAGAGAAAAUGAAAACAAGGGGUGGGAGGCAGGAGGAAGUACUGAGGUUUUCCUCCAAAUUUUAAAUAAAUUUUGUGGGAGUGAUAUAAAAGUAAAAGGGGGCUGGGUGUGAUGCCUCACACCUGUAAUUCCAGCACUUUGGGAGGCCAAGGUGGGCAGAUCACCUUAAAUCAGGAGUUAAAGACCAGCCUGGCUAACAUGGUAAAACCCGGUCUCUACUAAAAAUACAAAAAUUAGCCAGGCGUGGUGGCAUACGCCUGUAAUCCCAGCUACUCAGGAGGCUGAGGCAGGAGAAUUGCUUGAAUCUGGGAGGCAGAGGUUGCGGUGAGCCAAGAUCGUGCCAUUGCACUCCAGACUGGGCAACGAGCGAAACUCCUUCUCAAAAAAAAAAGGUAAAAGUGACACACAAUCUUUGUGAUCAUUUUCUGUGAGUUGCGGUAGUUGACCAGGUUGUGUCCUGGGAGAUAAUACAUAUUUGUGAAUGUGACUCACUCCCUGGGUAAAAAUAAGCCAAGAUCUCCAAAGGAAGUAUUUUUCUCUGAAAUCCAGAAAGCCAGUUGCAAUGACAGAGGAAAAUGGAAUUUUACCCUGGCCCCCAAAUAUAAGCACUAUGUAGUUAUAAGAAAAUAAGGGUUGAUAUGGUGAGAUGUGAUAGAUCUAAGUACAGAAGAGGAAGGAGCUGAAGGCUCACUUUCUUGGUGCCUUUUCCUGCCCAGGGGGUGGAGGCUGGGCAGGGAGGAGGGGAGGAAGCCAGGUCUUGAGAUGGGUGUGGCUAUGGAAUCUGUGGAGACCAUUUGUAUUCCCUCAGGAGAUUGCCUGUUCACAGAUACAUGCAGCCUGGAGGGACUGCAUGUUGAGGUGUCAGCCUGACCACCUGGCUCUUCAUGGCACUAUUUUUUGAACCCAGAGUUUCAGAACUACAGUUUAUCGUGCCAGAGAUGAAAUCGGAAUACACAAAAAAAUGGCAUUCUGAAGACAUUUUGAUGGUUUGUGAGAAUCAUGGGAUAGAAGAGCAGAAGGAAAAAAAAGUUUGUGGUUGAGGAGUGACGAUCGAAUGUGCAACAGUAGGAAUACUACUGUUAACAGAUAGUAUCCAUUGUAACCUGGCUAAGAGAGACAGCAAGCUCCCAAGAGUUGGCACUGGCCAGGUGCAGUGGCUCAUGCCCAUUAUUCCAACACUUUGGAAGGCCAAAGCUGGAAGACUGGUUGAGCCUGGGAGUUCAAGACUAGCCUGGGUAACAUAUUAAGACCCUGUCUCUACAAAAAAUACCGAAAUUAGUUGGGCAUGGUGGUGCACGCCAGUAGUACCAGUUACUUGGGAGGCUGAGGCGGGAGGAUUGCUUGAGCCCAUGAGGUUGAGACUGCAGUGAGCUGUGAGUGCACUCGUGUACUGAGUGACAGAGCAAGACCCUAUCUAAAAAACAAACAAAACAACAAAAAAUGCCAGGUGCAGAGUCUCAUGCGUGUAAUCCCAGCACUUCAGGAGGCCGAGACAGGUGUAUCAUCUGAAGUCAGAAGUUCUAGACCAGCCUGACCAUCAUGGUGAAACCCUAUCUCUACUAAAAAUACAAAAAAAAAAAAAAAAAAGCCAGACACGGUGGCACAUGCCUGUAGUCCCGGCUACUCAGGAGGCUGAGGUGAGAGAAUCACUUGAACCCAGGAUGUGAAAGUUGUAGUGAGCCGAGAUUGUGCCACUGCACUCCAGCCUGGGCUGCAGAGCGAGACUCCAUCUAAAAAAGAAAUGCUCUAUAAAUGUCUAUUGAACGAGUGAAUGAAUGCAUUAAUGAAUGGAUGGGUGCUCUCUCUGAUUCUGAGCUUGCCAUGACAAGCCUGGAGAGAAGAGAUCUAGCCUACACUCUCCUUUUAAUGGAUUCCCCUUCGUUAUAGGGUUCCCCCAAAGAGACAGUUACUAUUCAAUGUAUAACCUUAUACUGUUCUGCCGAACUGAUCUGCUUACACUGUUCAAUGCCAGAUGUUGAGGCAUGCAGGGCCUAUGGGCACUGGGGAAUUCAAAGGCAAUCUUCAGUCACCAACAAAAUAGGGCCUACUACUUAUGUGGUAAUGCUUGUACACCGACUUUGUCACGUCCUUAUGAUAAAUUUGGACCAAGGUCGUUGGUCUAAGACAGGGCUCAGUCUGCCCACAAACUGCAUGGGCCUUUCCCCAGGCCAGAUUCCUUGAGUCAGUUUAUGUCCCCAUGUUCCUGCAUUCUUCGCCUAAGAGCGAAACUACCCGUCAUUAAUGGGAAUGGGUGAUUUUCUGCUUGCUUUUGAACUCUAUUUCAUAAGCGGACCGUUUCCUGACAUUCUCAAGGACAUGACAUAACAGUUUCCCAUCUGUGAGUUAUCUUAUAUUUUUAAGUGGCAGACCUGUGUUUCAAGCCAGGAUGUCCUGACAGGAAACCUGAGUAAUAUUUUGCUCUUUCUUCCUGCUGGUGUGUUUUGGGUGGAUGUGUAGGAGACACAAAUGUGCGGUAGCUUCUUCUGCUUCUAACAGUCUGUGGUGUUCAUUAUCUUCUGGUUAGGGUUUUCCUUUGAGAAUAAGCCAGCAAAGAAUGAAUGUCGAGGUAUGGUUCCUGGUGAUGCUAUGCGUGUGUAAUGGGAGUGAGCAUGCUCUCUCCACGGAGCCUUCUGCUCCGUGUGCCCAGUGAAUUGAACAAUACUCGAAGACGUAUUCUGGCCCAGCAUCAUCUGGGGAGUAUAUGAUAUGGUUCUAGUCACCUGAAUCCCGGCCAAGCUCAGUGUCCCUGAAAAUGACUUGCUUUUAGACUUGCAUUUGAUUUAAGCAAAAUCUUUUACUGAACACACCUGGCAGACAUCUCAGAUUUCCUGCACAUUAACUGAGGAAUUCUAGCAAAUGAAAGCUGAAAGCUAUGAUACUGUUACGACAAAAUUAACACCCUGAAAGGCUAAUGAAUCUUAUAUGGAUUAUAUUACUUAGAGUUUGAACUUGGACAUUAUCUUUGUAAUAUAAAAGCUAUGUCCCCAAAACUUUAAAAAAGAGAGAAGAGAAACCCAUUCCCAUAAAUCAUAUUUCUGACACAUAGCUCACCAUGAAAAUGUCCAUAACACAGUGAUAUAAUUGAUACCUUGCAAAUAGAUUAAAAAAAAAAUUAGGCCAGGCACAUUGAUGACCCAAAGGUAUCCUAACACGGCUGUUAGAGAUUUGGGCAGGGGCUGAGUCUCAGUGUUUGGUUUCUAUCCCUAGCGCAGGGCCUCUGACAGCGAUGGAUACAUAUUAGGUGUCAAUUAACAGUCACUGAAUUACUGAAUGGAAAUUUACUGGGUCUCACUGCACCACUAGACUCCACACACAAAUAGACCUGCCCCAUGGGAUUCUUCACAAGAGCAAAUAUUUUAUGAGAGCUGUCACUCCUAGUUGAUUGGAUGGACAAAGUGAAACCACAGGAUUGGAUUUUAAAAGCAAAUAGAUUUACUCUGCUAAAUUUUACAACUGGGUUCUUCUGCUCUGAGUGGAGUGUUGGACAAAAUAACUUCAGAUUUGAGGUUUGUCAGUUCUAUGAAAACACAGGUUUUUUGUUUUGCUUUUUUAAGACAGAUGAACCCAGCAGGCAAGCUGGCAGGAAGUCUGACUGCAGUACUUGCCUGAGAGGAUGACACAGGCCAAACUAGAGAAGGAAAACAACAAGGCAGCCAGAGCUCAUAAAGCACUUUGAAAAGUAGUUACAGAGCUUUCCAGGUUUUUCUGGAAAAAGGAAGAAAAGGAGAGUAAAGGGCAGGAAGAGCAUUGGUUAACAACUGGCUUCAGAAAUGCUGACGAGUGGAUUUGACUGUUGGUUUUGUUUUUCUGAGUCAGGGAUAAGGAAAGGGUAUACAUUGGGCUGGUGCUGCCUGCUGGCGGGGCCACCUUCCCCAGGCUGUACUGAAGCCAUCCUUAGAGCUGCCAGGGCAUCCUGAGGCCUGCUGCCCUGUGGAACUCAUUGGAAAGGUGGACAGACUGCCCUCCAAAGAUGUCUAAGGUGCAUGGUACAGUGGAAGGAAGGGACAGCAGUUUUAAUUUCAUGUUGCUUUAAAAAUGUUUAUAUGUGGCCAGGCAUGGCGGCUUACACCUGUAAUCCCAGCACUUUGGGAAGCUGAGGUAGGCAGAUCACAACAUCAAAAGAUGGAGACCAUCCUGGCCAACACGGCAAAACCCCGUCUUUACUAAAAAUACAAACAUUAGCUGGGUGUGGUGACGAGCACCUGUAAUCCCAGAUACUCGGGAGACUGAGGCAGGAGAAUCACUUGAACCUGGGAGGCAGAGGUUGCAGUAAGCUGAGAGCAUGUACUGCAUUACAGCCUUGGCGACAGAGCAAGACUCGGUCUCAUAAAAACAAAGAAAAAUUUAUAUGUAUUUGCUUUCUUGAACAGGUAAUUUAUGUAUAUGAGUCAAAACUAAAAAAAUGAAAAGAUGGCUGGGCACAGUGGCGUGUGCAUGUAGUCCCAGCUACUCAGGAGGCUGAGGCUGGAGGAUCGCUUGAGUCCAGGAGUUCUGGAUUAUAGUGUGCUAUGCUGAUCGGGUGUCUGCACUAAGUUCAGCAUCAAUAUGGUGACCUCCCAGGAGUAGGGGACCACCACGUUGCCUAAGGAGGGAUGAACUCGCCCAGUCGGAAACGGAGCAAGUCAAAACUCCUGUGCUGAUCAGUAGUGGGAUUGCGCCUGGGAAUAGCCUCUGUACUCCAGCCUGGGCAACAUAGCGAGACCCUAUGUCUCUAAAAAAAGAGAGAAAUUAAAAGAUUAAAAGAUGUUUAUCUCUCCUGUCCCUGUCCACAAAUGCCCAGUUCCCCCACUCUAAAUAAAUAACCCUGUUACUAGGUUUGUGUUUAUCCUUCUAACAUUUUUUGUGCACAUAUAAGCUAAAACAAAUCUAUGCCGUUCUUUACCCCUUUUUAAUAUAAAUGGUGCCAGUCGGUACACAUAUUCUACACAUUUGUUGGGUUCCCCCUCUUUAACACUCUAUCUCGGAGACAUUUCCUUAUUGGUAUAUGAGAGUAUUCUCAUUUUUAUCUAUCUUUGUGGCUGCAGAGUAUUACAUUGUGUGGACAUACGAUAAUUUAAGUGAUUCCCACCAAGGGAUGUUUAGGUUGUUUCCAGUCUUUUGGCAUUACAAAUAAAGAUAUGGACUUUAGAGAAGUGCUUUCAAACCCCAGUCCUGAUGCCUACUAGAUGAUUGACAAUGGGUUUUAAUUGCCUACUCUGUAAAUAGGAUUUUUUUUUUCAGAGUUUUGCUCUUGUUGCCCAGACUGGAGUGCAGUGGUGAGAUUUCAGCUUACCACAACCUCUGCCUCCCAGGUUCAAGCAACUCUUCUGCCUCAGCCUUCCAUAGCUGGGAUUGCAGGCAUGCACCACCAUGCCCGGCUAAUUUUGUAUUUUUAGUAGAGACGGGGUUUCUCCAUGUUGGUCAGGCUGGUCUCGAACUGCCAACCUCAGGUGAUCCACACACCCUGGCCUCCCAAAGUGCUGGGAUUACAGUCGUGAGCCACUGUACCCAGCCAGGAAUUAUUUUCUAUUUAUUUCACCUGUCCCUUAAUGUUGCUGUGAAAGACUUAUAUAAUAUACAAAGAACUUGAGAAAUUCUAGGUCCUCGGUAAAAAUAAUGUACCUUGCAAUAAAGCAUAUUCAAAUUUGUUCUUAAAAAAUAAAAUACUGGCCGGGCGCGGUGGCUCAAGCCUGUAAUCCCAGCACUUUGGGAGGCCGAGGCAGGUGGAUCACGAGGUCAGGAGAUCGAGACCAUCCUGGUCAACAUAGUGAAACCCGUCUCUACUAAAAAUACAAAAAAUUAGCUGAGCAUAGUGGCGCAUGCCUGUAAUCCCAGCUACUCAGGAGGCUGAGGCAGGAGAAUCACCUGAACCCAGGAGGCGGAGGUUGUGGUGAGCCGAGAUCACGCCAUUGCACUCCAGCCGGGGUAACAAGAAUGAAACUCCGUCUCAAAAAAAUAAAUAAAUAAAAUAUAAAUAUAAAUAAAUAAAUAAAUAAAAUAAAAUGCUGACCAGGAGCCCUGGCUCAUGCCUGUAAUCCCUAUGCUUUGGGAGACCAAGGUCUCAAGAAGGACCACCUGAGACCAGGAAUUCAAGACCAGACUGAGCAACACAGAACAAGACCCUACCUCUACAAAAGUAAAAAUAAAAAAAUUAGCCACGCAUGGUGGCACAUGCCUAUACUCCCAGCUGCUUGGGAGGCUGAGGCAGGAGGAUCUCUUGAGCCCACAGCUGCACUCCAGCCUGGGUAACUGAGCAAGACCCUGGCUGUAAACAUUUUUUUUUUUAAACACUCUUGCUCCGUCUCCUAGGCUGGAGUGCAGUGGUGCAAUCUUGGCUCACUGCAACCUCCACCCCACCCCCACCAGGUUCAAUUGAUUCUCCUGCCUCAGCCUUCUUUCCGAGUAGCUGGGAUUAUAGGCAUGUACCACCACACCUGGCUAAUUUUUGUAUUUUUAGUAGAGGCAGGAUUUCACCAUGUUGGCAAGGCUGGUCUGGCACCAUUGCAUUCCAGCCUGGGCAAGAGUGAAACUCUGUCUCAAAAAAAAAAAUCUUGGUCAUGUUAAUAUAUUUUUUUUUUUCGAAAGAACUUUAGAAUAAUUUUGUCAAAUUCUAGAAAAAUGGAAUUGGAAGGGGAAAUUGAAUUGUAUUUAAUUUCCACACCUGUUUGGGGACAUAUUUGUUUCAUAUGGCUGAUGUAACAAUUACCACAAACCUGGUGGCUUAAAACAACACAAAUUUCUUCUCUCACUUCUCAAGGCCAAAAGUCUGAAAUCAGUGUCACUGAACUGAAAUCCAGGUGUCAGCAGGAGUGUGCACCCUGUGGAGAGUUUUGGGCAGAACGUGCUCGUUGCAUCUUUGUUUCUGGUGGUUGCUAGCAUGCAGUACUUGACUGACAGCUGCAUCGCUCCAGUCUCAGUGGUCACAUUGCUGUCACAGGGAUCCCCACUAUGUCACCUCACCUCAGAGCUUAACCUGACUGGUCCUCUUCCUUGCCUGGCUCAAGGCUUGGGUUAGUAACACAGAGUGGAUCAGCUCUCUGGGGCAUACUCAUUAACCCAGCUCUCAGACACUGCUGCGUGUGCAAAGAUAAUAUUUUGAUCUCCUAGUCUAUGUUUUGUUUUGUUUUAAUCUCAGUGUUUCCUGUUACCUUGUGACCCUCCCUCCCCUUUGGGAUGGCUGGACCAUGAGGCAUUUUUUGGCUCCAGGCACCACUGUGGAGCAGAAGGCAAAGAACAGAAGACUAAGGACUUAGAUCAGUCAGAAUUAGUCUCAGGCCAGGCGCUGUGGCUCACACCUGUAAUCCCAGCACUUCUGGAGCCUGAGGCAGGCAGAUCACCUGAGGUCAGGAGUUUGAGACCAGCCUGGUCAACAUGAUGAAACCUACUAAAAAUACAAAAAAAUUAGCUGGGCAUGGUGGCAUGUGUGCCUGUAAUCCCAGCUACUCGGGAGACUGAGGCAGGAGAAUCGCUUAAACCUGGGAGGCGGAGCUUGAAGUGAGCCAAGAUUGUGCCAUUGCACUCCAGCCUAGACAACAAGAAGGAAAACUACAUCUCAAAAAAAGAAAAAAGCAUUAGUCUCUUCACCCGACUCCCCAUCAAGUUUUCCCAGACUGGAAAAUGCAUGCUGUCUUGCCGCAGCGUCCUGGGCAUCUGUGAGGCCCUGCACCUACCUCUGAAGUAUCUCCACGUCCAAGGGAGAACAACAAUAAAUAGCAAAUAAAAAUAUCAUGACAGGUUGAGACAGACACUGCAGAAAAAAGGAAAGAGCUUUUUUCCUCCUUUUAUUAGAAAGGGGCCCAUAUUUUCAUUUUCUCCUGGGCCCUGAAAAUUAUGUAGCCAAUCCUACUGGCAGAUAAAACGUUCCUGAAGGAGUUAGCCAGAAGUCUAAGAAUAUUCUGGGGGUGUUAUGGCUUAAGUAUGUCAGCCCUGUCCAAAUGUAGAACAAUGCUGGGGGCUAUUUCAAGCCACGUGAAAUGUCAACACCUGUGGUAAAGCACUAUUAGCAAAGCUAAGGUGCAGAGUCUGCACACAUGACAAGGAAAAAGUCAACGUGCUAGGAGAGAUUUAUUGGCUGUUCAGCUUUAUCUGGAAGAGGAAAAUGGUGGGCAGAAAAGGCUGUCUGGCUAGUUCCUCCUUGAAGCAAGAACUCAGCUCGUUUCUCCAGAUAGUCUGUGGUCAGAUCUAGCAAUGAAAAUUUCAGGAAAUAUUGAUUUAAAAAGAGAAGAGAUCUUCCCACAUCUCCUUCAGUAUUGGGUGCCACCAAAUUCUGGCUGUUGACCUGUUACUCAACAAUAACAACAACAAAACAAUGUCUUUUGUUUAUUAUUAUUUCUGAUUCCAAGGAGAGUUAAACUUAUUUAAAGUGGGUCUUGCUUUAAAAAAAAAUUACUCCAGAUGUUUGUUUCUUUUGAAUUUUCCACUGGUAUUCAUUUUCUUAUUUAUUUGCAAGCACUUCCUACAUAGCAAGAAUAACAACAUUUUGUUUUCAUAUGUGUUACAAAUAGGUUUUCCUGGUUCAUCUAUUGUUUUUUAACCUUGCGCAUUUGGAAUAUCUCCAAGCCACAUCAUCUGAUGGGAAUGGAGAUCAUCCUAACAGUGAUACUGCAGUGUCAUAAUUCAGUAACCACCAAAUUUACUGCUAAUAAUCACCCACAUUUACUGAGCAUGUACUGUAUGCUUCGUGUGCCAUUAAUCCACAAAAUUACCCUAUGAAGUAGGUACUAUUUUUAGUUUCAUUUAAUAGAUGAAGAAACAGAAAUAGGAAAAGCUAAGUAAUGUGCCUAGUCACACAGCCUAGUAAGGGAUGGAAUGUGGGGCUUGACCCCAGCCCUGUCUGACUCCUAAGUCCAGGUUCCAACCCUGCACUGUCCAGUAAAGUGGCUGUACGUAGCUAGAGAGCACUUGAAAUGUAGCCAGCCUGAUUUCAGAGACCAAGUGUAAAAAAAAAGAAUGUGAAAUGCCUCAUUAUUACUAUUUUUUUUUUUAUAAGGUCUUGCUUUGUCUCUCAGGCUGGAGAAAGUAGCAUGAACACAGCUUGCUGCAGUCUCAACUAUCUGGGCUCAAGCGGUGUUCCCACCUCAGCCUCCUGAGUAGCUGGAACCACAGGUGUGUGCCACCAUGUCCAGCCUUUCAUUAUUAGUUUAAAAAUUGGCCAGGUGCAGUGGCUCACGCCUUUAAUCUCAGCACUUUGGGAGGCUGAGGCAGGCAGAUCACCUGAGGUCAGGAGUUUGAGACCAACCUGACCAACAUGGAGAAAUCCUGUCUCUACUAAAAAUACAAAAAUUACCCAGGCAUGGUGGUGUGCCUGUAAUCCCAGCGACUCAGGAGGCUGAGGCAGGAGAAUCACUUGAACCCAGGAGGUGGAGGUUGCAGUGAGCCAAGAUCCUGCCUCUACACUCCAGCCUGGGCAACAGAGCAAGACUCCGUCUCAAAAAAAAAAAAAAAAAUGUGGCUACUGAAAAAUUUUUAACAUGAUUCCCUUUAUAUUUCUAUUGACAAUAUCUUCUAUCCACUUUCCUACAUAAUCACCCUUCACUUGGGUGAAGACAGAUUGUGUGAUCGCCUGAGUCUUCUCCAGUUAUAUCACAGUGCUUGCUCCUUUUAAAUCUGUUGAUAGAAUGUUGUCUGCAGGUAUGGCUGCUGUUCUCUUUUCCCUGUCUUUACUUCCUUCACAAUCGGCUGCCAUCCAAGGAGACAAGGAAGCCUAGAGCUCUCAGGAGCAGUCCUUUGAGCUAGUGUAGAGGCACUCAAAAUGGUCUGGCAUUUGACAUAAUGACGUAGGCUUUCCUACAAUAUUGCCUGUAACAAAACUAGGCUGUCCCAAACCUCUGGUAAUAGAAUUGUUUACCUUUAUACCAAGAAGGUUGGGAAAGCAUCAAAAUCUGCAUGUGGCCUGUGCCGAGGCAGACUUUGAGGGGUUUGUGCUAUAAGGCCUAAAGUUCUUAUGAGGUUGUCCAAAACAAAGAAACAUGUCAGCAGGGCCUAUGGUGGUUCCAUGUGUGCUAAAUGUGUUCGUGACAGGAUCGAGCAUGCUUUCCUUAUCGAGGAGCAGAAAAUCGUUGUGAAAGUAUUGAAGUUGAAAGCACAGAGUCAGAAAGCUAAAUUAAAAAAUGAAACUUUUUUGAGUAAUAAAUCUGUUGAUAAACUGAAACCUUGUUUUCUGGUUUUGGUUGUCUUACAUGAAUUGAAAUCAUUUCAGGAUCUCACUGGCUUGAACAUGCUCAGUUCCGUCCACUCUUCCUCACAGAUGAUUUCUCAUAGGACCAAAUUUUGUCUUCCUUGUUGUCCACAUCUCAAUAUUCUCCAGGUUAUGGCUAUCUUUUUUUUUAUUUUUUGAGGUGGAGUCUUGCUCUAUCGCCAGGAUAGAGUGCAGUGGCGAGAUCUCAGCUUACUGCAACCUCUGCCUCCUGGGGUCAAGCAAUUCUUGAGCCUCAGCCUCCCAAGUAGGUGGUAUUACAUGUGUGUGCCACUAUACCCAGCUAAUUUUUAUAUUUUUAGUAGAAAUGGGGUUUCACCAUGUUGGUCAGGAUGAUCUCGCUCUCCUGACCUUGUGAUCCACAAACCUCAGCCUCCCAAAGUGUUGGGAUUAUAGACAUGAGCCACCAGGCCCGGCCGAUUAUGGCUAUCUCUAUCUCUCUUGCCCUCCAAGAUGAGACCACAGGUAGGGCACAGUGGCUUAUGCCUGUAAUCCCACCACUUUGAGAGGCCAAGGCAAGCAGAUUGCUUGAGCCCAGAAGUUGGAGACCAGCCUGGGCAAUGAAGUGAGACCCCUUCUCUACCAAAAACAAAGAAAAAUAAAUUAAAAAAAAAAAGGGUGACACAAUCCUCCAGAGAGCCAUUGCAGAUGUCCCAGAAAAGUGAUGCUCCUAAGUUCAUAAGGACAGAAAAUAGAAUGGUGGUUGCCAGGAGGUGGAUAGAUUAAAUGAGGGAGUUGUUUCAUGGGUACAGAGUUUCAGUUUAGGAUGAUGGAAGAGUUCUAGAGAUGGAUGAUGAUGGUGAUUGCACAACCAUAUGAUAUUUAGUGCCACUAAACUAUACUUAAUUGGUUAAAAUAGGAAGUUUUGCCAGGCGUGGUUACUUACACCUGUAAUCCCAGCACUUUGGGAGGCCGAGGUAGGUAGAUCACGAGGUCAGGAGUUUCAGACCAGCCUGGCCAAGACGGUGAAAUCCCGUCUCUACUAAAGAUACAAAAAUUAGUUGGGUAUGGUGGUGGUUGCCUAUAGUCCCAGCUACUCAGGAGGCUGAGGUAGGAGAAUCGCUUGAAACCGGAAGGUGGAGGCUACACUGAGCGGAGAUCACGCUACUGCACUCCAGCCUGGGUGAAAGAGCGAAAUUCCCAGAAAAAAAAAAAAGGAAGUUUUAUGUUGUAUACAUUUUACCACAAAUACAAUAAAAGAAAUUCUCGGCUGGGUGUUGUGGCUCAUGCCUGUAAUCCCAGCACUUUGGGAGGCCGAGGUGGGUGGCUCAGGAGGUCAGGAGUUCAAGACCAGCCUGCCCAAGAUGGUGAAACCCGUGUCUAAUAAAAAUACAAAAAUUAGGCCGGUGCGGUGGCUCAAGCCUGUAAUCUCAGCACUUUGGGAGGACGAGGUGGGUGGAUCACGAGGUCAAGAGAUCGAGACCAUCCUGGUCAACAUAGUGAAACCCUAUCUCUACUAAAACUACAAAAAAUUAGCUGGGCAUGGUGGUUCGUGCCUGUAGUCCCAGCAACUUGGGAGGCUGAGGCAGGAGAAUUGCCUGAACCCAGCAGGCGGAGGUUGCGGUGAGCCGAGAACACCCCAUUGCACUCCAGCCUGGGUAACAAGCGAAACUCCGUCUCAAAAAAAAAAAAAUUAGCCUGGCUGGUGGCAGGCGCUUGUAAUCCCGGGAGGCUGAGACAGGAGAAUCGCUUGCACCCAGGAGGCGGAGGUUGCAGUGAGCCGAGAUUGUGCCACUGCACUCCAGCCUGAGUGACAGAGCAGGCUCCAUCUCAAAAAAAAAAAAAAAAAAAGGAAAGAAAUGAAGUUCUCAUACAUACUGCAGCUGGAAUGAAGCUUGAAAAGAUUAUGCUAAGCGGUGGGCAUGGUGGCUCAAGGCUUAUAAUUACACCACUUUGGAAGACUGAGAGGGUAGGAUGGUUCGACUUCAGGAGUUGGAGACCAUCCUGGGCAACGUGGCAAAACCUCGUCUCUAUGAAAAAUACAAAAAUUAGCCAGGCAUGGUGGCCUCUGCCUGUAGCCCCAGCUAUUCAGGAGUCUGAAGUAGGAAGAUCGCUUGGAACCGGGAGGUGGAUGUUGCAGUGAGCCGAGAUGGCGCCACUGCGCUCUAGCCUGGGCAACGGAGCGGGACCCUGUCUCAAUUAAAGGAAAGAAGAAAAUAAAAAACAUUAUACUAAACAAAAUAAGCCUGACACAAAAGGACGAAUAUUAUAUGAUUCCGCUUAUACAAAAUACCUAGACUAGGUAAAUUCAUUAGAAAGUGUAUCAGAGGUUGGGGAGGAUGUUGAGGGGAGGGGUAAAGAAAAGAAAAUCAAGGAGUGGGAAGCAAAUGACCGGGGGAUAGAAGGGCAGUGGUCGGCCGCUUGAGUGCGUGGGUGUCAGGGGCAGACGGGACAGACGAUUCAGGUCCUGCGCGCAGGGGCCCCUGCGCUCCCGUUGGGCGCAGCUGUCUUUAGGGCAGCGGCAGCGUGGCAGGCGCGAGGGGCGCCCGGACCUGUCUCCUCCACCCUUCGCCCGCCGCAACCGCUGCAGGCUCCAGCCUGUCCCUAUCUCACACUCUUUAUUUAACAAAGAGCGGAGAGACUAGAAGUGACCCCGAGCAGCGUGGAUGCGGGUAGGGCCGCCGGGGCGUCCCACGGGCGUCAUCCUAGCCUCGUGAGCGCGGAGCCCGGGCACGGGGGCGGGGAGGGGGUUUUGGUGUGCUUAUGAGAACUUGCUCCGUUUUCUCUGUAAGUACUAAGGGUUCCCUCGCCGCCCUCUUCCUCAUUUUCCACCAUCCCAGUUUACACAAGCAUACGUAUUUACUUCCGUAAUUUCCCCAUGCCCAUGUAACAUCACACACAUACACACGCGCGUGCGUUUGCUUUUGUUUUCCAAAAUGGCAUCUUCUAGUAGGCGCCUCUCUUUAUGUUGCUUUUCUAGUACACUGUGGAACCCCAAAUCCCAGCUGGGAUUCACUCUUCUCUAAUGGCUGAACAUUCAUCCGGGGCAUGAAGGCAGCGCGGUUCAUUUCAUCAUUCCUUUGUUUCCUCUGUUUUGCCACUAGAAACUGCCGCGAUGAAUGUCAGUCCCCAGAGCCGGAACAAUUCCCGGUUUUCUCCACUUGGGUCUGAGAACCUCUGUCCCUCUAGAGCUGCGAGCACUUUGCCAGGGUGACGGGCGGAAAUGUCCCUCAUCUGUGCCUGCUUUCCCAGACCCUCCAGCAGACCCCUCUACAGCCCCAGCUUUCUCCUAGCCACUUCCCCCCAGCGACCGCAGAAGGCGCUUCCUCCCCCGCAGCGCGAGCCCAAGCUCCUCCAACGCCCCAGCUCUCCCCGCCCCCCUUCCGACCUUGUUUCAUCUGACCCCUCCCCCGCACAUACUCAAUUUCAUCUUCCCAAGGCGCCCACUCUCCACAUUCUGAGGAAAAAAGAGCCGGCUGCUGUCCUAUGUUUGUCAUGCUGCUUUCCUCCUGUACACUACACAACUUGAACAACAUUUUUUUUUCUUUAUUUGAAACAGGCUCUCGCACUGUCGCCCAGGCUGGAGUACAGUGGCACGAUGAUGGCUUACUGCAGCCUUGACCUCUCUGGGCUCAGAUGAUCCUCCUGUCUCAGCUUCCCAAGAAGCGUGCCACCACUAUCGGCCAAUUUUAAUUUUUUCUUUUUUUAACCACAGGGGCUCACUAUGUUGCCCAGGCUGGUUUUGAACCCUAGGCCCAAGGGAUCCUCCUGCCUCAGCCUCCCAAAGUGCUGGGAUUACAGGCGUGAGCCAUCGCGUCCCACAGUAAAUAUUAUUUCAAGGAAAUGGCACCUGAGUUUGAGAUUAAUCAGGUUUACUGCAGGGAAGGAGCAUUGGCCCGAGUUAGAACCCGACUCUGCCCUUUCCCUGCCUGCUUCUGCCUUCAGCAAAUUGUUCCACACAUCUCUGGUUUCCUCCCGAGAUGAUCCCAAGGCCCUGCUGGCUCUAGCCUUGGUGAGGCUAGAAUUACAAUUCCAGUCCUCCCCAGCCACGCCCCAUCUCUUGCUCCCAGUGCUGGCACUUUCCCCAGUCAGCCACACUUUCCUUUCCCAUUCACUGAGCCUGUGGAAAGCUCUCCCUCUUAUUCUGAAUAUCUAGAGCCUAUUCACCUUUGAAGACCUGACUUGGCCACGUUUCUUCCCAAAGCUUACAGCAUGCCCUCUGUGGAAGGAAACGCUCUGUCCUUGCAAAGCCAUUGUCUGUAGCACUUUCACUGUAUCUUACUAAUAACAUCACCCCCUCUGCCUGGGGAGCUGUUCCAAACCUGCCCUUCUCCCAUUGCCAUCUACGUGUCUGGCAAGGCCCCACCAUAGUACUUUGCCCAUGUUAAAGGAUACAGUUUUGGGAGUCCUAAGACCGGGGUCCACAUCCCAGUUCUGACACUAAAUGUGUUACCUUGAACAUGUCACAUAGCCUCUCUGAGCCUUAAUUUCCCCAAAUGUAAAAUGCAAAUAAUAACCUAUUUCAUAGAGUUACUGUGUUGAUUAGAUGAGACAAUAUAUAAGAAAAUGCUUUGUGAACGGUAAAGCUAACAGACAUAAAUAAUAAUAGUAAAGACAGAUAUUACUCAGAUGUUGGCAAGAGGGAUUUCCUUUCUAAAACAGAAUUGAAUUUUUUUUUCUUUGAGAUGGAGUCUGGCUCUGUUGCCAUGCUGGAGUACAGUGGCGCAAUCUCAGCUCACUGCAACCUCCACCUCCUGAGUUCAAAUGACUCUCCUGCCUCAGCCUCCCAAGUAGUUGGUACUACAGGCAUGCACCACCACGCCUGGCUAAUGUUUGUAUUUUUAGUCGAGAUGGGGUUUCACCACGUUGCCCAGGAUGGUCUUGAUCUGUUGACCUCAUGAUCCACCCACCUUGGCCUCCCAAAGUGCUGGGAUUACAGGCCUGAGCCACUGUGCCCAGCCCUAAAACAGAAUUAAAAAAAAAAAAAAAGAAAAGAAAAAGAAGACAUGGUGGUUCACCUCUAUAAUCCCAACACUUAGGGAGGCCAAGCAAGAGGAUUGCUUGAGCCCAGUUCAAAAUCAGCCUAGGCAAUAUAGCAAGACUUCCAUCUCUACAAAAAUAAGCAAAUUAGCCUGAAAUCGUGGCAUGUGCUGUUAAACCUGGCUGUUUGGAAACU